AGUUAAGAAGAAAAAAAAAGCAAUGCUACAGUCGUACUAGACACUGGAAUGGCUUGUAUUGGUUGAACUUUUCUUAUUUUUCAGAUUCAAAAAUCUGUUUGCUCUACAAAGUCGAUGAGUGCAUCUAAUCAGUUCUGCAGCGCCAUGGUGAACGUUGGGAGGUGUUGGCACGGAAGACGGAGCGGGAAAAGGAUCACGAUAACUAUGAGGUGAGGAGGAUAUCAACGGAUUGUGCAUUUACAGUUAGCGGGUGAGCCCACGCUGUAUCUCGUAGGAGAACCUGGCCAUGGGUAUCGGAGAAUGCAUAUCAUAUGCCGGAGACGUGCUUGGCCUUAAACACUGACUCUGCUCGAUCACGGAUUCCAAAUUGGUCAUUACGUUACCGGCGGCUUGUCAGCAAUCAGCAUUGGGUGUUCUUUUUCCGUUCAGUUCUUCCUGCCGUCCUUCUGUGUAUAAAGUGCCUUCCAUUAACAUCUCCCGACAACAAGUUGGAGUUGCUUCUAGCACGGAUUAUGAUGGUGCUGUUGCUGAAGAGGAAUGUUUUGUUGCCUGGUUGCACUGGACAAGAUGGUUCACACAGUGUAGUCGAUCUCCUGUUGGUGUCGAUUGUAUACCGUUUCAGAGGUUUGAAGAGGAGUGAGGAGCUUCCUUACUACAAAGUUCUUUAUAUAAGGUGAAAAAGUGUACAAGGGCCAACCAUUUGGUGUUUGUACUCGAUGAUCCCUUCGAGCCGGAGGCCCAUCCCGACCGCUCAGUGCGAUAGUGUUAGGUGCUAGAAAUACAAGAUGUAAAUAUAAAAUGGUUACUUUACAUGUUAAUACA